CGAACGGGUGAGUAACACGUGGGUAACCUGCCCAUCAGAAGGGGAUAACACUUGGAAACAGGUGCUAAUACCGUAUAACAAUCGAAACCGCAUGGUUUCGGUUUGAAAGGCGCUUUUGCGUCACUGAUGGAUGGACCCGCGGUGCAUUAGCUAGUUGGUGAGGUAACGGCUCACCAAGGCAACGAUGCAUAACCGACCUGAGAGGGUGAUCGGCCACAUUGGGACUGAGACACGGCCCAA
rnacentral:rRNA from 1 species